rnacentral:rRNA from 1 species
GCCUGCCCUGUGACUAUGGGUUUAACGGCCGCGGUAUUUUGACCGUGCGAAGGUAGCGCAAUCACUUGUCUUUUAAAUGAAGACCUGUAUGAAUGGCAUCACGAGGGCUUAGCUGUCUCCUCUUCCAAGUCAAUGAAAUUGAUCUGCCCGUGCAGAAGCGGACAUAACUACAUAAGACGAGAAGACCCUAUGGAGCUUUAGACACCCGGCAGAUCACGUCAAGUAACCUUGUUUUAUCAAGUAAAAACGCAGUGACCCCUAGCCUAUAUGUCUUUGGUUGGGGCGACCGCGGGGGAAAACAAAGCCCCCAUGUGGACUGGGGGCACUGCCCCCACAGCCAAGAGCUACUGCUCUAAGCACCAGAAUUUCUGACCAAAAAUGAUCCGGCGAACGCCGAUCAACGGACCGAGUUACCCUAGGGAUAACAGCGCAAUCCUCUCCCAGAGUCCCUAUCGACGAGGGGGUUUACGACCUCGAUGUUGGAUCAG